rnacentral:hammerhead_ribozyme from 1 species
AUCCGAUCAUCCGCCAUUAUUUCAACAGCGUCUGUCGGGCGUGGUGACCUGGCACUGAUGAGCAGCCCAAA